rnacentral:rRNA from 1 species
GACGUAGGGCGCGAGCGUUGUCCGGAUUUAUUGGGCGUAAAGAGCUCGUAGGCGGCUUGUCGCGUCGACUGUGAAAACCCGCGGCUCAACCGCGGGCCUGCAGCCGAUACGGGCAGGCUAGAGUUCGGUAGGGGGAGACUGGAAUUCCAGGUGUAGCGGUGAAAUGCGUAGAUAUCUGGAGGAACACCGGUGGCGAAGGCGGCAUCCUGGACCGGCAUUGACGCUGAGGAGCGAAAGCGUGGGGAGCAAACAGGG